rnacentral:rRNA from 1 species
UCCCGGCGCCACGAGUAGGGACCAGGAUUAUUGGGUCUAAAGCGUUCGUAGCAGGUCGUGUAAAUCUCUUGUGAAAUCGUUGGGCUUAACCUAACGGCGUGCAGGAGAGACUGCUCGACUAGAGACCGGGAGGGGUCAGGGGUAUUCCUUGGGGAGCGGUAAAAUGCUUUAAUCCUUGGAAGACCACCUGUGGCGAAGGCGCCUGACCAGAACGGGUCUGACUGUGAGGGACGAAAGCCAGGGGA